rnacentral:rRNA from 1 species
GCUUAACACAUGCAAGUCGAACGGAAAGGCCCAGCUUGCUGGGUACUCGAGUGGCGAACGGGUGAGUAACACGUGGGUGAUCUGCCCUGCACUCUGGGAUAAGCCUGGGAAACUGGGUCUAAUACCGGAUAUGACCAACUGUCGCAUGGUGGUUGGUGGAAAGCUUUUGCGGUGUGGGAUGGGCCCGCGGCCUAUCAGCUUGUUGGUGGGGUAAUGGCCUACCAAGGCGACGACGGGUAGCCGACCUGAGAGGGUGAUCGGCCACACUGGGACUGAGACACGGCCCAGACUCCUACGGGAGGCAGCAGUGGGGAAUAUUGCACAAUGGGCGCAAGCCUGAUGCAGCGACGCCGCGUGAGGGAUGACGGCCUUCGGGUUGUAAACCUCUUUCACCAGGGACGAAGCGKRAGUGACGGUACCUGGAGAAGAAGCACCGGCCAACUACGUGCCAGCAGCCGCGGUAAUACGUAGGGUGCGAGCGUUGUCCGGAAUUACUGGGCGUAAAGAGCUCGUAGGCGGUUUGUCGCGUCGUCUGUGAAAUUCUGCAACUCAAUUGCAGGCGUGCAGGCGAUACGGGCAGACUUGAGUACUACAGGGGAGACUGGAAUUC